rnacentral:rRNA from 1 species
GGCCCCUCUCGGGUUACCGAAUUCAGACAAACUCCGAAUGCCAAUUAAUUUAACUUGGGAGUCAGAACAUGGGUGAUAAGGUCCGUGUUCGAAAGGGAAACAGCCCAGACCACCAGCUAAGGUCCCAAAAUAUAUGUUAAGUGGAAAAGGAUGUGGCGUUGCCCAGACAACUAGGAUGUUGGCUUAGAAGCAGCCAUCAUUUAAAGAGUGCGUAAUAGCUCACUAGUCGAGUGACACUGCGCCGAAAAUGUACCGGGGCUAAACAUAUUACCGAAGCUGUGGAUUGUCCUUUGGACAAUGGUAGGAGAGCGUUCUAAGGGCGUUGAAGCAUGAUCGUAAGGACAUGUGGAGCGCUUAGAAGUGAGAAUGCCGGUGUGAGUAGCGAAAGACGGGUGAGAAUCCCGUCCACCGAUUGACUAAGGUUUCCAGAGGAAGGCUCGUCCGCUCUGGGUUAGUCGGGUCCUAAGCUGAGGCCGACAGGCGUAGGCGAUGGAUAACAGGUUGAUAUUCCUGUACCACCUAUAAUCGUUUUAAUCGAUGGGGGGACGCAGUAGGAUAGGCGAAGCGUGCGAUUGGAUUGCACGUCUAAGCAGUAAGGCUGAGUAUUAGGCAAAUCCGGUACUCGUUAAGGCUGAGCUGUGAUGGGGAGAAGACAUUGUGUCUUCGAGUCGUUGAUUUCACACUGCCGAGAAAAGCCUCUAGAUAGAAAAUAGGUGCCCGUACCGCAAACCGACACAGGUAGUCAAGAUGAGAAUUCUAAGGUGAGCGAGCGAACUCUCGUUAAGGAACUCGGCAAAAUGACCCCGUAACUUCGGGAGAAGGGGUGCUCUUUAGGGUUAACGCCCAGAAGAGCCGCAGUGAAUAGGCCCAAGCGACUGUUUAUCAAAAACACAGGUCUCUGCUAAACCGUAAGGUGAUGUAUAGGGGCUGACGCCUGCCCGGUGCUGGAAGGUUAAGAGGAGUGGUUAGCUUCUGCGAAGCUACGAAUCGAAGCCCCAGUAAACGGCGGCCGUAACUAUAACGGUCCUAAGGUAGCGAAAUUCCUUGUCGGGUAAGUUCCGACCCGCACGAAAGGCGUAACGAUUUGGGCACUGUCUCAACGAGAGACUCGGUGAAAUCAUAGUACCUGUGAAGAUGCAGGUUACCCGCGACAGGACGGAAAGACCCCGUGGAGCUUUACUGUAGCCUGAUAUUGAAAUUCGGCACAGCUUGUACAGGAUAGGUAGGAGCCUUUGAAACGUGAGCGCUAGCUUACGUGGAGGCGCUGGUGGG